ACGCUGGCGGCGUGCCUAACACAUGCAAGUCGAGCGGAGAUGUCUGGUAGAUUCUUCGGAUGAUCCAUUCAGUCUUAGCGGCGGAUGGGUGAGUAACACGUGGGGUAACCUGGCCCCUGCACAGGGGAUACAGCUGGAAACGGCUGUUAAUACCGCAUAUGCACACGCUGCCGCAUGGCAGAGGGUGGAAAGAUUUAUCGGUGCAGGAUGGGCCCGCGUCGGAUUAACUAGUUGGCAGGGUAACGGCCUACCAAGGUGAUGAUCCGUAGCCGACCUGAGAGGGUGACCGGCCACAUUGGGACUGAGACACGGCCCAAACUCCUACGGGAGGCAGCAGUGGGGAUAUUGCACAAUGGGCGCAAGCCUGAUGCAGCGACGCCGCGUGAAGGAAGAAGUAUCUCGGUAUGUAAACUUCUAUCAGCGGGGAAGAAGAUGACGGUACCCGACCAAGAAGCCCGGCUAACUACGUGCC
rnacentral:rRNA from 1 species